rnacentral:snRNA from 1 species
GCUCGCUUCGGCAGCCAUAUACUAAAAUUGGAACAAUACAGAGAAGAUUAGCACAGCCCCUGCACAAGGAUGACACGCAAAUUCAUGAAGCGUUCUAUAUAUUU